CUGGUCAGGAUGAACGCUAGCUACAGGCUUAACACAUGCAAGUCGAGGGGCAGCAUUGGGAUAGCUGCUAUCCAGAUGGCGACCGGCGCACGGGUGAGUAACGCGUAUCCAACCUUCCCUAUAGUAGAGAAUAGCCCGGCGAAAGUCGGAUUAAUGCUCUAUGUUGUGUUUUGAGGACAUCUGACGAACACCAAAGGUUCACCGCUAUAGGAUGGGGAUGCGUCUGAUUAGCUUGUUGGCGGGGUAACGGCCCACCAAGGCGACGAUCAGUAGGGGUUCUGAGAGGAAGGUCCCCCACAUUGGUACUGAGACACGGACCAAACUCCUACGGGAGGCAGCAGUGAGGAAUAUUGGUCAAUGGGCGAGAGCCUGAACCAGCCAAGUAGCGUGCAGGAUGACUGCCCUAUGGGUUGUAAACUGCUUUUAUCAGGGAAUAAAGUGCGGCACGUGUGCCGUUUUGUAUGUACCUGAUGAAUAAGGACCGGCUAAUUCCGUGCCAGCCGCAGC
rnacentral:rRNA from 1 species